rnacentral:rRNA from 1 species
AUCGAACGCUGGCGGCAGGCCUAACACAUGCAAGUCGAACGAGUGGAGGACGGGUGGAUAGUGUAUGGGCAACUGCGUGACGGAGGGGGCUAAGUACUGGAAACGUUAGCAACUACCGCUAACCAUCCUAUGUGCCCAGAGGGGAUUAGCGAGUUGGUGGGGUAACGGCUGACCAAGGCGACGAUCCCUAGCUGGUCUGAGCGGAUGACCGGCCACACUGGAACUGAGACACGGUCCAGACUCCUACGGGAGGCAGCAGUGGGGAAUAUUGCACAAUGGGCGAAAGCCUGAUGGAGCCAUGCCGCGUGUAUGAAGAAGGCUUUCGGGUUGUAAAGCACUUUCAGUGGAGAGGCGGUACCCGAAGAAGAAGCACCGGCUAACUCCGUGCCAGCCGCCGCGGUAAUAC